UACGUAGGGGGCAAGCGUUGUCCGGAUUUAUUGGGCGUAAAGAGCGUGUAGGUGGCUCGGUAAGUCCGCUGUGAAAGUCCAGGGCUCAACCCUGGAAAGCCGGGUGGAAACUGUCGAGCUCGAGUCCGGAAGAGGCGAGUGGAAUUCCUGGUGUAGCGGUGAAAUGCGCAGAUAUCAGGAGGAACACCAUGGCGAAGGCAGCUCGCUGGGACGGUACUGACACUGAGACGCGAAAGCGUGGGGAGCGAACAGGG
rnacentral:rRNA from 1 species